rnacentral:rRNA from 1 species
AAGGGAAUCUUCCACAAUGGACGCAAGUCUGAUGGAGCAACGCCGCGUGAGUGAAGAAGGUCUUCGGAUCGUAAAACUCUGUUGUUAGAGAAGAACACGAGUGAGAGUAACUGUUCAUUCGAUGACGGUAUCUAACCAGCAAGUCACGGCUAACUACGGGCCAGCAGCCGCGGUAAUACAAAA